rnacentral:lncRNA from 14 species
CCCCUCCCCAGUGACAAAAAUAAGUAGCCGUUAGAUUUCCAUGGUGUCAUGACGUGUACAUCUUAGCAAGACCUAUUGAAGCAAGGGGGAAGGGGAAUCUGUGGAGAUCCUUGUCUCGUACUUCCCUGAAACUCUUAUGAGGAAACUAUCAAGCAC